UCCCAAUCAUGAAAUUUGUAUUGCAGACAAUCUAAGCAAAGCUCCCUGCAUGUCAUCAUGGGCAGGCGUAAUUGCUUGUAGGACUGAAUCGGGAGCUGAUUUCCCUGUGGACAGGUGUGGGAAUGUGGUCGCAUGGUACAUGCGAUGGGAAUAGCAUCAGCCCAUCCGCCAUUCGUUGUUUACAAAGGAGAACCUAAAUACCAUCUUCAGAAUCUUAGCCACCCCAGACAUGAGCAUACCAACAGUCCCAGACUUUUGUAGAG